UAGAAAGUGGUGUAUCGGAAGCACCAAGCGCUUUGAUCUCUUGUGUAUGGGUUCGACUCCCUUCUUUCUAA
rnacentral:tRNA from 1 species